UGGGGAAUAUUGGACAAUGGGCGCAAGCCUGAUCCAGCCAUACCGCGUGGGUGAAGAAGGCCUUCGGGUUGUAAAGCCCUUUUGUUGGGAAAGAAAAGCAGCCGGUUAAUACCCGGUUGUUCUGACGGUACCCAAAGAAUAAGCACCGGCUAACUUCGUGCCAGCAGCCGCGGUAAUACGAAGGGUGCAAGCGUUACUCGGAAUUACUGGGCGUAAAGCGUGCGUAGGUGGUUGUUUAAGUCUGUCGUGAAAGCCCUGGGCUCAACCUGGGAAUGGCGAUGGAAACUGGGCGACUAGAGUGUGGCAGAGGGUAGUGGAAUUCCUGGUGUAGCAGUGAAACGCGUAGAGAUCAGGAGGAACAUCCGUGGCGAAGGCGACUGCCUGGGCCAACACUGACACUGAGGCACGAAAGCGUGGGGAGCAAACA
rnacentral:rRNA from 1 species